rnacentral:rRNA from 1 species
UGCUCACUAUUAUUUAUUUAAAGAGCCGCGGUAUUAUGACCGUGCAAAGGUAGCAUAAUCAUUAGUUUCUUAAUUGGAGACUGGAAUGAAUGGUUUGACGAGAAAUUGACUGUCUCUUAAUAAAUUUUAGAAUUUAACUUUUAAGUUAAAAGGCUUAAAUGUUUCUUUAGGACGAGAAGACCCUAUAGAGCUUUACAUUUAUAGAUUGAUUUAUAUAUAUAGUUGAUUUUUAUAUUAAUUUUUAUUGUUUGGUUGGGGUGACAUGGAGAAUAAUUAAACUCUUCAUUAUAGAAUCAUUAAUUUAUGUUUAUUUGAUCCAUAAUUUGUGAUUAUAAGAUUAAGUUACCUUAGGGAUAACAGCGUAAUCAUUUUUGAGAGUUCUUAUCGAUAAAGUGGAUUGCGACCUCGAUGUUGGAUUAAGAUUAAUUAUGGGUGUAGUAGCUUAAUAAUUA